CUGUUCCCGCCGCCGGGUGGGAACAGGGAACGUUUGCGUUCACGUCGUUAGGCCGUUGAAGACGUGGGGCAGACGUAUUUUUUAUUU
rnacentral:ncRNA from 1 species